rnacentral:pre_miRNA from 1 species
GAUUUCAUCUAAAAAAGUCAUGGACAUAAAAGUUAUAGAGUUUGUCAAAAUCUACAACUUUUAUUUUAGUGAUUUAUUCAUCCGACAAACUAAUGAUAACAUUGUUUACAAAACUUACAGAUCUCUCUUAUAGUUUAUGGAAUCAUAUGAAAGAUAUGUAGAUUUUGUGAACAAUAUUAUUGUCACUUUUUUAGAUGAAUAAAUAACCAAAAUAAAAGUUAUAGAUCUUAAUGACUUCUAUAACUUUGUUGUUGAUGACUUUUUCAGAUGAAAUC